UACAGAGGGUGCGAACGUUGCUCGGAAUUACUGGGCGUAAAGCGCGUGUAGGCGGGUGGUCAAGUCAGGUGUGAAAUCCCCAGGCUCAACCUGGGAACUGCACUUGAAACUGGUCGCCUUGAGUGUUGGAGAGGGAAGCGGAAUUCCUGGUGUAGAGGUGAAAUUCGUAGAUAUCAGGAGGAACACCGGUGGCGAAGGCGGCUUCCUGGACAAUUACUGACGCUGAGACGCGAAAGCGUGGGGAGCAAACAGG
rnacentral:rRNA from 1 species